GAGUUAUUUAUUCCAGGUAUUCCUUCGAACGAUUAGGUUUGAAAUUUAUGGGAUACGUGGAAGAAACGUUUAUUCCAUUUAUGUGAACUCGUUUAAGAAUAUAACUUAUAGAUAUUUCUGUUAUAACGAAUCUUCGUUUAAAAUUGGGAAAAAUUGAACACCAUCCAAGAACGAUCCUGUAUAUAUCCAUAUAGUUAUUUAUCGUUACAAUGAUAUUAUCUGGCUGGAUACGAUCUUGAUUCACGAGUUCCUGUCUCUAGAUUGUCACUGAGGAUUGAGGAACUUCGGUUGUCACGUGACUAUUUCAACGUGGAAGUCACUGUUAAAGAUGAUCUCUAACAGAGAUCACAUACACAUACCGUGAUCGAUUCUCCAGCCAUUUACAUUACACAGAGAGGCUUAUAAUUGUCGUUGAAACGAGAGAUUUUUCCUUCGAUUGCGAAAUAAAAAAAUUCUUAAGAUAAUUAGAACGAUUAGAAAGUCCAUGAUCUCGAUAUCGAAGAAUAGCAUAGGUUUCUCACUGCGAUCGUUUCAUUUGUAACGCCCUCAGUUCACGCUUAAUUGCGUUUCGAGAAUGAAGCGUUUAAUUUGCAUAUGUCGCGAUCUCGAGUGCGCUCACCACCAGAGUUAGACGUUGCACGCGAAUAGAAAGUGAUAAUUUAUGGUGAUUGACCGUUUAGACUUUGAGGAAGAAAGUUAUUAGUUGCGUUUGCUUAUCUGGUGAAACACGAUCGCCGGUUCAAACCGUUUCGAGGUUGUAAGGGGAAAGCGAAAUAAAGUAUCUGAUCUUGUUUGUUCGCAUUUUAGAUGAAAAAUUUUCGAAAUAUUUUAACGAAAUAUCGUACAUUGUGUCUGUUAUCUAGUUUUAUCGAGUUUUAUCUGAUCUUUAAAUAGAUUGAAGUAUGUGGAUAAUUUAAAUUUUAAAAGAAUAGAAGUUAACCAUGAGAGAUUUUCUCACCUUCUCUGACGACUAUGCAAAUUACUUGGUGGAUUACCUAGAAAACAAAUAUUUUUUUGUUGCAAAUGUAAAUCGAGAUUUCGAAAUAUAGAUCGAUUCCAUAUUAGUAUUUCAACCAUGAUCGAAAUUUAUUCAAAUUAUGAAACUCAACAAAACUAAAAGAAUUAAUUAUUCAAAAUAUGAAAAUCAUAUUGAUCUAAUUUAUUUGAAAUUUAAUCGAAUAUUUGACUCCAAUCCUUACAUAAUACAAAAUUUAAUACAAAAUUACUAUAAAAUACAUCAAAUAUCGUAUCGAUUAAUUUCACAAUUAGUACUAUUGAUAUCUCGACUACGAUCGAAUCAUCGUGUCAACAAUGGCGCAUAUAAAUCUCAAGUGAAUGAUAGAGGGACACUGAUGCAACACGGGAUUGAAACGAGCGUAUUGUUUCGACGAGGAACGCGCGCGCGCGUAACAUCGAUGCCCGACGAUAGAAACAAAAGUAGAAGGUGGAGGCAGUCGGCGGCGACGUGUGUACGAGGAAAGCCGACCACAUGAAUGAACCUUCCAUUCAUGCGUGCCUCUAACCCCUUCCUACAACCCCCGUCGCACCGUCUAUGGGAUCUUGUCGGCUACCAACGACACGACUAUGCGACACACACACAAGACGCAUACAUACAAACGUUGAGACACAAAGAUGAAAAGAGAGAAAGAGAGAGACAGAGAGGGAGAGAAAGAGUGCACAUGCGCACAAAACGAAGCGCCGCGACACACGUGACCGCCAUUGUUGAUCGCAAGGAAGAACCGGCAGCGCCAACCAGCCGCGUUAUUCCUGGCUUUUUUGCAAGAACCAGGACACUGAUAGCAUACUCGUUCUCCAGUAUUUCUAAGUGGUACCCUCGAGAGGUAUAAUACCGGGACGAAGGCUCAUUCAUUCGUUCGGUCACGUAACCGAGAUUAGGAGUGUUUGGCGCCGAUGUUUUUAACGGCUAAUGACGGUAUAUUCCUCGAUCUUUCGACGAAUGGAACACUUUCGAGAAUCUUCGAUCUGUAGUGAAUUACAGAACAGAUCAAUCCAGGUUGUUUUUUGUAAAGUUCACAUAGACGGGUUCUUAAUUUGGAUAUAGAGAAAAUUGGAAUACAUGAUAAAACAAGUUUAUUUCGUCGUUGGAUGUAGUGUUGGAUCAAGUUUUGUACAUUACUUAACCUAACAUUCGAAUUAUCGAAUAGAAGCAAAAUAUAACAGAAAUAAUAUAUUAAAAUAGAAUUGAAAUAAGAUAUGAACUGAAUUAAAAAACGUUUUGAACAGGAAUGAUGAUAUGAUGAAUUCAUCAAAUCAAAUAAAAUAACCAAAAUUAAAAUGAGAAUCAUGAUAACUCGUACAAGCUCAGAACCAUUACGACCGCAAUGUCCACAUCCAUAAACCUUUAUUUUCAACAUCUCGAGUAAUUAUUCGUAUUCAUUUCUUAAUUACUUCAUCGUAUUUCCAUUACCGCUAAAAUAUGACAAUAAUUAUGGCUAUCUAUCUUCCAGUUUUAUUUCUUUUGUAUUUAGACACCGAACCGUAAAUUCAAGGAAACAAGAACAAAACCUCUUGUAUCAUAGAUAUCAGUAAUGUAUCCAGUAGCUCAAGUUUGU